rnacentral:lncRNA from 13 species
CAUGUACAACGGAGUCACUUACACUAAGCCUUAAGCCACAUCUUUAAAUUCUCACUGUUAAUAGAAUCCUUGUGGUCUUGGGUCUGUGUAUUGCAGUAUGUUCUAGUUAUUUCUUAAAGAUUUAAUUCAGCAGUAGGAGUAUUCUGUGUGAGUUUAUUAUUGUUUCUGAUUUUGUUUUUCAUCAACUUUAGUUAUAGUAAUAGUAAAGACAAUUUAAAAAGCAAUAAAUUUAAAUAACAUGAAAACAUCCUUACAGUAAACCUAUAAAAUAAUUAUCACUUCCACUGCACUGAAGAAGAAAAAUACUCAGAGAACAACAUGAUCUUCAGUAAAGUGAGAAUACUUUUCUUGAACCUGAUUCUUCAGCUUCCGAAUCCCAUGAUAAUUAUCCACACACCACUGAGGUCCAGGAUGGUGAGAACUUGUGGUGCCUUUUUUGGGCCUGCCCAUGGAUGCCCAUGGACCAAUUGCCAUGCACUUCCUCUUCUCUGAAGCUCAUAAGAGCCCCAGGCUCAGUCAGAGAUGAGCAAACAUCAGGAUGACCAGCUGCAGAGAGGAGCUACCCACUCCAGGGCCUCCCCUCUGCUUAGAGGACAGAGAGAUAGAUGAUGGGGAGAUCAGUUGCAGAAAGAAGCUACCAUCUCUUCCGAGAGCUGCCGAGAUGAUGGGAUGACCUGUCUGCAGAGAGGAGCUUCCUACUCCAGUGUCUCCUCUCUGCUAGGAGCUAAACACUUGAUGGGAAAACCUAGCUGUGGAAAGAAGCUACACACUGCAGAUCUCAUCUGAGCUGUUCAAUCACUCAGUAAAGCUCCUCUUCAUCUUACCUUCCACUUGCCUGCAUACCUAAUUCUUCCUUGUCACAGGAUAAGAACUUGGGACCCACUGAAUGGAGAAACUAAAAGAGCUGUAACAUAAACAGGGCUGAGACAUGCCCCUUGCUUGGCAUGUAGUGUGGUGAAGAGAAGGAGAGAAAAGCUGUGGCCCUUUGGGGAGCCCAGACCUGGGAGCUCCCCAAGCCAAGGCUGUGACUCUUUCUUUGGGGGCCCUGCAGUUCCUGGCAUCUCCCAGUUUCCA